rnacentral:lncRNA from 1 species
AUGGUCUGUUAUACCCUCAACAGUAAAAGAUAUGCAGGAAUGAAGGAGUGGAUCUUCAGAGUGGCUGACUUCCUUUGCAGCCUAUUAAUUUCGGGUUUGGAAUAAUUCUUGCAAACAGCAAAUACUGGAGCUUCUGUGAAUUUGACAAUAAUGUUGUCCAGCUUGUUUACAUCAGACUUUGGGAAGCUUACUGCCUUUGGGGAUUUAACUUCUCUGAUACUGAGACCAUAAUUCUGGUACACAGCCCUGUCAACUUGACCUGAACAAUAUCACCUGACUUUCAAUGUGCACGGAACCUGAUAUUACUGGAAAUGCUGAUAAAACCUGUUGUGAAUUUUAACUCAGCAGCCCUUAGGGUCAGCAUUAUCAAAGCCUCAGACCCUGAGAUUAAGAUAGCAUGCUACAAGUGCUCUAUCUUUAUUUUGACUCUCAGCAGCCUCUGUACUAUUAUUUCUGUGACCUGGAACCAUGUAAUAGAUUUCUAUGGCAAACCCACCCUUGACUUUCCACCAACCUUUCCAGGUAAGAAUGAAACACAGCACUCAUGUGUUUCCAAUGGGGCUUGUGACAACCACUCUGUCACUCUUUGGUGUGAUUAUGUUCCUCUAUGAGAUAAGGUCACUGAAAGUUCAGAGGAAGAUGAAUGCCAAGCAUGCUUCCAAACAAGCUAAUGAGAGGUCCAUAAAGGAGUGUGCUAGUGUUUGCAAAAUGUGCCAGGAGACGCCCUGA